GGUUAAGCGACUAAGCGUACACGGUGGAUGCCCUGGCAGUCAGAGGCGAUGAAGGACGUGCUAAUCUGCGAUAAGCGUCGGUAAGGUGAUAUGAACCGUUAUAACCGGCGAUUUCCGAAUGGGGAAACCCAGUGUGAUUCGUCACACUAUCAUUAACUGAAUCCAUAGGUUAAUGAGGCGAACCGGGGGAACUGAAACAUCUAAGUACCCCGAGGAAAAGAAAUCAACCGAGAUUCCCCCAGUAGCGGCGAGCGAACGGGGAGCAGCCCAGAGCCUGAAUCAGUGUGUGUGUUAGUGGAAGCGUCUGGAAAGGCGCGCGAUACAGGGUGACAGCCCCGUACACAAAAAUGCACAUACUGUGAGCUCGAUGAGUAGGGCGGGACACGUGGUAUCCUGUCUGAAUAUGGGGGGACCAUCCUCCAAGGCUAAAUACUCCUGACUGACCGAUAGUGAACCAGUACCGUGAGGGAAAGGCGAAAAGAACCCCGGCGAGGGGAGUGAAAAAGAACCUGAAACCGUGUACGUACAAGCAGUGGGAGCCUCUUUUAUGGGGUGACUGCGUACCUUUUGUAUAAUGGGUCAGCGACUUAUAUUCUGUAGCAAGGUUAACCGAAUAGGGGAGCCGAAGGGAAACCGAGUCUUAACCGGGCGUUAAGUUGCAGGGUAUAGACCCGAAACCCGGUGAUCUAGCCAUGGGCAGGUUGAAGGUUGGGUAACACUAACUGGAGGACCGAACCGACUAAUGUUGAAAAAUUAGCGGAUGACUUGUGGCUGGGGGUGAAAGGCCAAUCAAACCGGGAGAUAGCUGGUUCUCCCCGAAAGCUAUUUAGGUAGCGCCUCGUGAAUUCAUCUCCGGGGGUAGAGCACUGUUUCGGCAAGGGGGUCAUCCCGACUUACCAACCCGAUGCAAACUGCGAAUACCGGAGAAUGUUAUCACGGGAGACACACGGCGGGUGCUAACGUCCGUCGUGAAGAGGGAAACAACCCAGACCGCCAGCUAAGGUCCCAAAGUCAUGGUUAAGUGGGAAACGAUGUGGGAAGGCCCAGACAGCCAGGAUGUUGGCUUAGAAGCAGCCAUCAUUUAAAGAAAGCGUAAUAGCUCACUGGUCGAGUCGGCCUGCGCGGAAGAUGUAACGGGGCUAAACCAUGCACCGAAGCUGCGGCAGCGACACUGUGUGUUGUUGGGUAGGGGAGCGUUCUGUAAGCCUGUGAAGGUGUACUGUGAGGUAUGCUGGAGGUAUCAGAAGUGCGAAUGCUGACAUAAGUAACGAUAAAGCGGGUGAAAAGCCCGCUCGCCGGAAGACCAAGGGUUCCUGUCCAACGUUAAUCGGGGCAGGGUGAGUCGACCCCUAAGGCGAGGCCGAAAGGCGUAGUCGAUGGGAAACAGGUUAAUAUUCCUGUACUUGGUGUUACUGCGAAGGGGGACGGAGAAGGCUAUGUUGGCCGGGCGACGGUUGUCCCGGUUUAAGCGUGUAGGCUGGUUUUCCAGGCAAAUCCGGAAAAUCAAGGCUGAGGCGUGAUGACGAGGCACUACGGUGCUGAAGCAACAAAUGCCCUGCUUCCAGGAAAAGCCUCUAAGCAUCAGGUAACAUCAAAUCGUACCCCAAACCGACACAGGUGGUCAGGUAGAGAAUACCAAGGCGCUUGAGAGAACUCGGGUGAAGGAACUAGGCAAAAUGGUGCCGUAACUUCGGGAGAAGGCACGCUGAUAUGUAGGUGAAGUCCCUCGCGGAUGGAGCUGAAAUCAGUCGAAGAUACCAGCUGGCUGCAACUGUUUAUUAAAAACACAGCACUGUGCAAACACGAAAGUGGACGUAUACGGUGUGACGCCUGCCCGGUGCCGGAAGGUUAAUUGAUGGGGUCAGCGCAAGCGAAGCUCUUGAUCGAAGCCCCGGUAAACGGCGGCCGUAACUAUAACGGUCCUAAGGUAGCGAAAUUCCUUGUCGGGUAAGUUCCGACCUGCACGAAUGGCGUAAUGAUGGCCAGGCUGUCUCCACCCGAGACUCAGUGAAAUUGAACUCGCUGUGAAGAUGCAGUGUACCCGCGGCAAGACGGAAAGACCCCGUGAACCUUUACUAUAGCUUGACACUGAACAUUGAGCCUUGAUGUGUAGGAUAGGUGGGAGGCUUUGAAGUGUGGACGCCAGUCUGCAUGGAGCCGACCUUGAAAUACCACCCUUUAAUGUUUGAUGUUCUAACGUGGACCCGUGAUCCGGGUUGCGGACAGUGUCUGGUGGGUAGUUUGACUGGGGCGGUCUCCUCCUAAAGAGUAACGGAGGAGCACGAAGGUUGGCUAAUCUCGGUCGGACAUCAGGAGGUUAGUGCAAUGGCAUAAGCCAGCUUGACUGCGAGCGUGACGGCGCGAGCAGGUGCGAAAGCAGGUCAUAGUGAUCCGGUGGUUCUGAAUGGAAGGGCCAUCGCUCAACGGAUAAAAGGUACUCCGGGGAUAACAGGCUGAUACCGCCCAAGAGUUCAUAUCGACGGCGGUGUUUGGCACCUCGAUGUCGGCUCAUCACAUCCUGGGGCUGAAGUAGGUCCCAAGGGUAUGGCUGUUCGCCAUUUAAAGUGGUACGCGAGCUGGGUUUAGAACGUCGUGAGACAGUUCGGUCCCUAUCUGCCGUGGGCGCUGGAGAACUGAGGGGGGCUGCUCCUAGUACGAGAGGACCGGAGUGGACGCAUCACUGGUGUUCGGGUUGUCAUGCCAAUGGCACUGCCCGGUAGCUAAAUGCGGAAGAGAUAAGUGCUGAAAGCAUCUAAGCACGAAACUUGCCCCGAGAUGAGUUCUCCCUGACCCUUUAAGGGUCCUGAAGGAACGUUGAAGACGACGACGUUGAUAGGCCGGGUGUGUAAGCGCAGCGAUGCGUUGAGCUAACCGGUACUAAUGAACCGUGAGGCUUAACCUU
rnacentral:rRNA from 1 species